rnacentral:lncRNA from 1 species
CCACCACAAGUGUGACAAGAUUUGAUAAAAAAUUAAGCUUAUGACAUGUGGACCAUUCAGCUAGAAAAGUGUGACAUGCCACAAAUAUGGCAAUGAAUCAAAACACAUGUCUAAGAUAUUGUGACAUGAGUAAGUAUAGACGUGACAACCUUAGGCUGCAAAUCAAAUGCCCUUUUGCCAUUGACGAGUGGGACGAUCCACAUGGGGCUUUCUGAAAUCUCGCUUAUGCUAAAUAAGCCACCUACCAUAUAUUUGCAUAAAUCACACAAAUAUUAUGGCAACUUUGUGUUAUAAACCAUGUGAGCUGCUAACAAACGUACGUGUGUCAAAUUUGUAUUUAUGCGACUGAUUCUGUUACAACCAAGUGCCACAAUAAAGAUGGAUGCUCUUGUACAAAGAUUUACGUCUCUAUAAUGUGAGUACCUUGUUAAAAGCUACUCUCGUAUCAUAGAAAAUCACAUUUUGUAAUGUUGAAUUUAGGGAAACAAGUCUGCCAAGAUUGUCGUGAUGGCUCUAUUCACUGUUCCUGAUGGUAGAGCUUGCGCUAAGAGGUUCCAUGCUAGGAUAUGUUUCGUAUUCCUAUCAUGGAGCAUGGUAAUUAUCUUGAAGAAGCCAUAUAAUCAACUCGCGGGAAGACAACAUCAUGACCAUUUGAAAAGGCGUCAUAAGCAAAGAGCGUAAUAGAAACUCCAUUGCACAAGUACAAGUAAGCAAAAUGAAUAAGAUGUUUUCCAGUUUCUUUGUUUUCCUCCCAUUUCUCCUAGCUAGGAGUUAUACUGGAUGGGGAUGCGAAAAAAUGUAAGCCUAUAGCACGGAUCAUUUGUGACGAUUAUCACACUCAACCUACAUAUGUUGUUUUGUUUUCAAACAAGUUAUGAAAGCGUAUAUAUAGCAGAGGUGUGUUCUUCUGGAAGGUGAUCAUUUGUCGUUAGAAAUAACUCAUGAGGAAACACCUUGACUUCAUGUAUAUUCUUUUGGUUGUCAUUGAAGAAUUGUGAACACAAGCUACACUCAAAUGAUGUGAAACUUUUAUGAGUAUUUGGUGUUUGUUGUGGUGUAGUUUGAAAAGCAUGAUGAAACACAUGAAGUCGUAGCCCGCCUAAUAAGAUUUAAAUUUACACGUCAUUUUUGUAAGUAGAAGAAGAGCGCCUUCGCGAUGUGGAUGAAGUGCCCAAGUGCAGCAUAAGAAGAAGAGCGC